AGGACGAACGCUGGCGGCGUGCUUAACACAUGCAAGUGGAGCGACGAACCAGGCUUCGGCCUGGGGCAGAGCCGCGAACGGGUGAGUAACACGUGGGUAACCUGCCUCGAUGACCGGGACAACCCGGGGAAACCCGGGCUAAUACCGGAUGUGCUCCUUCACAUCAGUGAAGACAGGAAAGGAAGCUUCGGCCUCCGCAUCGAGAUGGGCCCGCGGCCCAUUAGCUUGUUGGUGAGGUAACGGCUCACCAAGGCUGCGAUGGGUAGCUGGUCUGAGAGGACGAUCAGCCACACUGGGACUGAGACACGGCCCAGACUCCUACGGGAGGCAGCAGUGGGGAAUCUUGGACAAUGGGGGCAACCCUGAUCCAGCCAUGCCGCGUGAGCGAUGAAGGCCUUAGGGUUGUAAAGCUCUUUCAGCGGGGAAGAUAAUGACGGUACCCGCAGAAGAAGCCCCGGCUAACUCCGUGCCAGCAGCCGC
rnacentral:rRNA from 1 species